AAUUAAUGAAAUAUCUGAUCCUGAUCGGACAAAGAAGUUUGAUUUCCGAUCGAGUCCUGAAACACGUGAUUGGGCCAGAUUUCCGAUCAUGUGAUCGGAUCGGUACAUCCCUAAUACACAUAGCAAUAAAAUUGAUAAUAAAAAGUAAGAAUCGUGGUUCAACUCGUUAAUCGUUGCUCUUGAUUCGUUAAUCGAAUCGGAUCGCCACUUAUGUGAUGAUCCACAGCCCUACUCGGCUCCAUUCUGAUGUACCCACCAUUCAGUGCACCAGCUCACCAUUUUUGUUUCAUGUUAGGUUGGGAUGUGUGGGGCUGUAGGCUAACGGGAGAAAAUGUAAAGACAGUUCGGACCCCUGAGAGGAUAAUUCUGGCCCCCACGAGCGCUUUCUGCUCCAGCGCUCGUGUUUAAUCCUCUGCAAGCAGAAAAACUCCUUGCGCACAAGAGACGGUCUACUUCAGUGUGCGUGAGCUAGUCUCUCGGGCACGAGUGAUGCAUGCCUUCAAGCAGAAUCUCGGUGAGUGUGUGCAUGCAGAACAUUUUGGUCAUGUGUGCUUGUGCGGACUCUUACUCCAGUCGCGAAAAAAAGGAGUGAAAAAGGACUUUUGACAAUUGGGGGCGGACACACUGGCUUUCUUCUGAUUGGUCUAUGAUGAAAGCCCCGUCAAACUACAAUGUGGGCCAUAAAUUGAAUGUUUUUAUUGUCACUGUUUUAAUAUAGUUUACUGGUAAACAAGCUACCAGACAGAUUCAUCACUGGAUAGAUAACUGUGGCAACAUUUAUAAGAACAUACUAAAUGUGCUGUGUAUUUUAUAACUUUUCAAAACAUCUUCACUGUGUUCUCCUGUUUAUUCGAAAAUUUCCUAAAAAUCACAGAGGAUUAUCAUCCAGAGCAGGCGUUUAUUAUGGAUGGAACUGGCAAUUCUGUAAAGAGAAGCAGUCUGGCACUUAA